rnacentral:rRNA from 1 species
CCACGAUAAAUAGGGGCCCUGAGAGGGGGAUCCCCCACACUGGUACUGAGACACGGACCAGACUCCUACGGGAGGCAGCAGUGAGGAAUAUUGGACAAUGGACGAAAGUCUGAUCCAGCCAUGCCGCGUGCAGGAUGACGGCCCUAU